AACGAACGCUGGCGGCAUGCCUAACACAUGCAAGUCGAGCGAAGACUUCGGUCCUAUCGUCCGACGGGGUUGUAACGCGUGGGGACGUUCCCUUUGCUUCGGACUAGCCCUGGGAAACUGGUAGCAAUACCGGAUGAGCCCUAUUGGGGAAAGAUUUAUCGGGGAAGGAUCGGCCCUCGUUGGAUUAGGUAUUUGGUGGGGUAAUGGACUACCAAGCCGACGACCCAUAGAUGGUUUGAGAGGAUGAUCAGCCACACUGGGAGUGAGACACGGCCCAGACUCCUACGGGAUGCAGCAGUGGGUAAUCUUAGAACAUGGGGGAAACCAUGAUCGAGCCAUGACGGGUGAGCGAUGAAGGCCUGAGGGUUGUAAAGCUCUUUCAGCUGGGAAGAUAAUGACGGUACCAGCAGAAGAAGCCACGGCUAACUACGUG
rnacentral:rRNA from 1 species